UACGUAGGGGGCAAGCGUUGUCCGGAAUUAUUGGGCGUAAAGAGCGUGUAGGCGGCCAGGUAGGUCUGCUGUGAAAACUCGAGGCUUAACCUCGAGAUGUCGGCGGAAACCAUCUGGCUAGAGUCCGGAAGAGGAGAGUGGAAUUCCUGGUGUAGCGGUGAAAUGCGCAGAUAUCAGGAAGAACACCCGUGGCGAAGGCGGCUCUCUGGGACGGUACUGACGCUGAGACGCGAAAGCGUGGGGAGCGAGCAGG
rnacentral:rRNA from 1 species